rnacentral:tRNA from 1 species
GGGCGGUUAGCUCAGUUGGCUAGAGCGCAUGAUUGACGUUCAUGAGGUCAGAGGUUCGACCCCUCUACCGCCCACCA